UACGUAGGGGGCUAGCGUUAUCCGGAAUUACUGGGCGUAAAGGGUGCGUAGGUGGUUUCUUAAGUCAGAGGUGAAAGGCUACGGCUCAACCGUAGUAAGCCUUUGAAACUGGGAAACUUGAGUGCAGGAGAGGAGAGUGGAAUUCCUAGUGUAGCGGUGAAAUGCGUAGAUAUUAGGAGGAACACCAGUUGCGAAGGCGGCUCUCUGGACUGUAACUGACACUGAGGCACGAAAGCGUGGGGAGCAACCAGGAUUAGAUACCCUGGUAGUCCCUGAG
rnacentral:rRNA from 1 species